rnacentral:hammerhead_ribozyme from 1 species
AUCCAGCUGGUGAGUUCAAAUAGGACGAAACGCGCGUCCUGGAU